rfam:Triticum aestivum genome assembly, contig: Triticum_aestivum_CS42_TGACv1_scaffold_408455_5BL
UCACUACUCCCUCUGUCAGAAAAAACUUGUCAUCAAAAUGGACAAAAAGGAAUGUAUCUAGAAUUAAAAUACAUCUAGAUACAUCCCUUUUUAUUCAUUUUGAUGACAAGUAUUUUCGGACGGAGGGAGUAUUUC